UACGUAGGUGGCGAGCGUUAUCCGGAAUUACUGGGCGUAAAGCGCGCGUAGGCGGCUUUGUAAGUCGGUUGUGAAAUCCCCGGGCUUAACCGGGGAACUGCGUCCGAUACUGGCGGGCUUGAAUUCGGGAGAGGGAUGUGGAAUUCCAGGUGUAGCGGUGAAAUGCGUAGAUAUCUGGAGGAACACCGGUGGCGAAGGCGGCAUCCUGGACCGACAUUGACGCUGAGGCGCGAAAGCCAGGGGAGCAAACGGG
rnacentral:rRNA from 1 species